rnacentral:rRNA from 1 species
CAGCCGCCGCGGUAAUACAGAGGGUGCGAGCGUUAAUCGGAUUUACUGGGCGUAAAGCGUGCGUAAGCGGCUUUUUAAGUCGGAUGUGAAAUCCCUGAGCUUAACUUAGGAAUUGCAUUCGAUACUGGGAAGCUAGAGUAUGGGAGAGGAUGGUAGAAUUCCAGGUGUAGCGGUGAAAUGCGUAGAGAUCUGGAGGAAUACCGAUGGCGAAGGCAGCCAUCUGGCCUAAUACUGACGCUGAGGUACGAAAGCAUGGGGAGCAAACAGGAUUAGAUACCCCCGUAGUCCCUGUCUCUUAUAA